UAAGGAAUCUUCCACAAUGGGGGCAACCCUGAUGGAGCAACGCCGCGUGCGGGAUGAAGGCCUUCGGGUCGUAAACCGCUUUUGUUAGCGAAGAAUAUGACGGUAACUAACGAAUAAGGGUCGGCUAACUACGUGCCAGCAGCCGCGGUCAUACGUAGGACCCAAGCGUUAUCCGGAGUGACUGGGCGUAAAGAGUUGCGUAGGUGGCUCAUUAAGCGAGUAGUGAAAUCGUGUGGCUCAACCAUACGGCUAUUACUCGAACUGGUGAGCUCGAGAAUGGUAGAGGUAGCUGGAAUUUCUAGUGUAGGAGUGAAAUCCGUAGAUAUUAGAAGGAACACCAAUGGCGUAGGCAGGCUACUGGACCAUUUCUGACACUGAGGCACGAAAGCGUGGGGAGCGA
rnacentral:rRNA from 1 species